UACAGAGGGUGCAAGCGUUAAUCGGAAUUACUGGGCGUAAAGAGCGUGUAGGCGGCCAAGCAGGUCAGCUGUGAAAACUCGAGGCUCAACCUCGAGACGUCGGUUGAAACCGCUUGGCUAGAGUCCGGAAGAGGAGAGUGGAAUUCCCGGUGUAGCGGUGAAAUGCGCAGAUAUCGGGAAGAACACCCGUGGCGAAGGCGGCUCUCUGGGACGGUACUGACGCUGAGACGCGAAAGCGUGGGGAGCGAACAGG
rnacentral:rRNA from 1 species